AAUCAAUCUCAAGGAAGCUCUUUGGGAGCCAGGAUUCCCAGCACUUAGCUGGUGGGCAAAGGGGUUCAACCCCUUCCCCACACCCCACCUUCCCUCCUCCCAGUCUUCGGGAUUGCGGAGCUCCUGCCGGGAUCCAAGAGCAGGCUCUUGGAGGUCGAAGAAGGAUAUAACCUCCAGACCUGGAAUUUAAGACGCAAGAACCAGCCAGCAAAAGUGGCAGCCGAGCAUGCGAGGGACUGCUGAUGGCUUUUUAUUAGGAAGCUAUGCAACUUGAGGUUCUACUGAAAAGGAGAAGAGGCCACUGGAGAUGGGAAGCCACGAAAACAUGAAGAUGUAGAAGUCUCAGCUCCUUCAAUGCUAUGUCUGCCAAGAUGCUGCCACACUCCCUUCUUGAUGAUAAUGGACUGAACCUCUGAACCUUAUAUGAAACAUAGUAGACGUGUAAUAAAUGACCGUCCCCUGAGAUGCUCUAGGAUGCUCCAAAAAGGACCUAUUGGGAAACAAAGGCUGGGCAACCUCAGUUGUCUGAGAAGAGCAGGAGGACUGAAUCUGGCAAGAGGCAGGUGGAGUGGGCAGAAGACAGCAGCCCCAGGGCUUGAGCCUCCCUUCACAGUGGGUACCUGGCACAGGCAGACAACAAGCAGUGAGUGGGCCAGCAGAAUGGAACGGCUUGGUCAGCACAGGCGCUUUCAUCAGAUGAAGUGGGGUCACCUUUUACACUCCUGUUAACUCCUUGGGUGGAAUUACCCAACGGAAUGAAAAUUGGAUGGAGUUAUGGCGGGACACUCUUACUGGACACUGAAACCAUCCUGCAGCAAAUUGCUUCUGUGAAAUCUUUCUGCUGUUUGGGAGGUAUCCUUCUAUAGCACAGAAACGGAAACUUCAGCCAGAAGAGAGGAAUUCAGUGACUCCAUGCCAACAGAAACAGAGCUCUGCAUUUGUUUCCUGAGCCUACUUGCACUUGGAAGGUUUCUUUCCUCACAAGAAACAUGUGUUACAGGAUAUAAAAGUGGCUUUCCGUUUGGGGUUAGAACCCGAAACAGAAAGACAACAGAGAAAAAUUUCAGCUCAGCCUUUCUAGAUUGGAAAUGAUGCAUGAAUGUUGUUGUUUCUCCAAGACUUCAGCACAGGUAUAACAUGGUGCUAAUUUAAUCACCCGGUGAAUCACCUUUUCUCUGUGAGAUGUUAACACUGAUGUAAGAUGUUUCCAUGUGAGGAACGGGAAAGACUUGAGACACAAAAAAGCUUCAAGGAUUGGUAAAUAGAAUAAUGUGGUCUGUACCCCACUAAUUUUUCUUGCCAUCCAUGAGAGGCCCGAUGGGCUGCAGCAAUGCAUCAUUUAGAUCGCCCCUUCAGCUGGUUCAUGGAAAACUAACAAAAAUUGAUGUUGUUAUCUGGGGUUUUCGUGUGUGAUUUGUCUAACUCUUUACAUUCAUUAUGGGUUUUGCCCUUCUUUAAUAAAAUGGCCUGAUAUUGCCUUCA
rnacentral:lncRNA from 1 species